rnacentral:lncRNA from 1 species
CUGACGCUCCCAGAAGCCGGGGCGUCGGGAAGGAGAGCGCGAAUUCACCCUCCUCUGCGCCUCCGUAGGAAAAAAUUGGAGCGGGGGUUCACGAGACUGCGCCGCGGCGGGCGCUAGAGCCCCUCGCACAGCGUCGCCAAGGGUGCGGCGUGGAGCCGGGCGCCUGGCGCCAGGGUGCUGGUCGGCGGGCAGCGGCGCCAGCCUCCGACCCGCGACUCCGGCGAGCCAAGGCUGCGCCGGGAGGAGUCGGCGCGGGCCCCGGGGUGCCCCCUUCAACUGGAGCGCCUUCCCCUCCUGCCUUGCGGCGCAUCCCCACACCUACACCGGAACGAAGCUCCGGGGCUGUCACUUCUGCGCGCUUCUCGGAAAGGAGUCUGAACUGGGAGCGCUCCGGGGGGUCGUCGGGGAGGAUGCCCGGGCGUCGGCUGUGUCCCCAAGCUGCUCGCCGGCGCUGGCGAGGAAGGCAGUCGGGAUAACGCCGCCCAAACUUUCCUUCGCAGCAGCGUUGGCAGGAAACGUCCCUCUCUGAGGCUCACGAAAAGCCGAAAAAGACUCGGACGCUUGGAGGAGGCAGGGCCAAGCCUGCGCAGGAGAGGUUCCCCGGAGCCCUGGAGAUGUCCUAGGGGACCAGGCUAAUCGCCGGCUUGCGCCCAAGCGAAGGGAAGUCCUGCAGGCACGGCGCCUCCUUCCCUGAGCCCCGCAGUGACCGUGACCUCCGCGCGCACCCCCGCGCACGUGCUCGCGGCCGAGGAAGAGGAACGGUCCUGCUGAAUCCUCUGGAGGACAGCGACUAGCGAGCAGGCCAGGGGCGCAUGGAGGUGCCGCGGGGGCGGUGCGGCUCGCCAGCUGCGCGGAGGAGCGUGCACGCCGCGCCCCGGCCUCCCCGGGGACCUGGCCGGCCGCUGCCCGCACUUCCUGCCGCUGGUCUCCCAGGCGCGAGCCGCCGCUUGCAGCACAGAACCCGUUGAGCUUCGUGCCCGGCAGCACCCCC